AGGGGGUCGUUAAGUCAUUGCGGCGGCAUCCGCGCAAAAGCGCUGUAUCCCCGCUCCGACCGCAUUUCUACGUCGUAUUCCCCAUAAAAAUUGCAGCAUCAGUAGCAUCUUAACCGACAAUUCCAGAGUGGUGACCUUGCACAUCCACUUGAUUUUGUAAUAUGGUAUUCUAAGUCUGAAGGAAUUGUAGCAGCUCACUGGCUGACACCAGGUUACCGCCAGUCGGAGCGACCUUUUCCAAGUCGCAGGUAGAAAAAACGACGAAGAUCGUGAGGAGCUUGGUACGCGUGUCGGCUGUGGUAUUGUGAGAGCGUGUAUAUUAAAUCUGUAGCCUCUGAAGAAUUCCAUAUGUGAAGAGUAUCAGUUGAGUUAACUGUUAUAGCUGUGAGUGAGGGCAUUUCUGUUUGGUUGAAGAAAGGCUUGUGGGUAGUGGUGGAGGUUUGGGAGCAAGGACGUAUAUCUUUACUCGGUUCAGGGUUUGAUUCAAGAUGGCUUGUCGACCCCUGGGGUUCCUCAUUGGUCUUCCGUUCAUGUUGGUUGGCCUGAUUCUCUCCAUUAUCGGCAUGGUGCUAUGGAUUCUUGCGUCUAUCAUAGUAUGCAUAUGCCCUUGCUGUCUUUGCCUGGUGCCUAUUCCGCCUCUCGCCGUGUCGCUCAUCAAAGCCCCUGUUAGCAUUAUGUACUGGUUCACGAAGCAAAUACCUUGCUGACGUGCUACAGCAGCAGUUGGUGUAGCACGUUGUUAUCGAUUUUUUCGUCACGCUUUUGUAAUCUUCGUAAGAGUGAAAUUUCAAAGCAGUUGUUGGGUGAAGCGUGACACUCCAAGCGUUGUACUCCUAGUUGGUUUUUAGCUUUCAGUGAACCCUGUAAAUUAUUUUGAUGGGUAGGACAGCUAUACAGAACAACCUGGUUGCUACACCAUGUCGUGGCCACCUUGUUGACUAAAGCCAACCGUGAAGUAAAGGUUUUGUAAUUUCAACCCCGAUAGUCUGUUUUUGAUUAAGCAAUUUUA